rnacentral:rRNA from 1 species
GGUGAACGCUGACAGAAUGCUUAACACAUGCAAGUCAACUUGAACUUCGGUUUGGGUGGCGGACGGGUGAGUAACGCGUAAAGAACUUGCCUCACAGAUAGGGACAACAUUUGGAAACGAAUGCUAAUACCUGAUAUUAUGAUUUUAGGGCAUCCUAGGAUUAUGAAAGCUAUAUGCGCUGUGAGAGAGCUUUGCGUCCCAUUAGCUAGUUGGAGAGGUAACGGCUCACCAAGGCGAUGAUGGGUAGCCGGCCUGAGAGGGUGAUCGGCCACAAGGGGACUGAGACACGGCCCUUACUCCUACGGGAGGCAGCAGUGGGGAAUAUUGGACAAUGGACCAAGAGUCUGAUCCAGCAAUUCUGUGUGCACGAUGAAGUUUUUCGGAAUGUAAAGUGCUUUCAGUUGGGAAGAAAAAAAUGACGGUACCAACAGAAGAAGUGACGGCUAAAUACGUG